rnacentral:ncRNA from 1 species
UGCCCGGCACGGCGUAAAACUACCAACAUAAGGGACGCGACUCCGUAAAAAGCGUA